rnacentral:rRNA from 1 species
UCCCCUGCAAAGCUAUGGAGACAUAGUGGAGGUUAUCAGGGAGACAGGUGGUGCAUGGUUGUCGUCAGCUCGUGUCGUGAGAUGUUGGGUUAAGUCCCGCAACGAGCGCAACCCUUAUUGCUAGUUACCAUCAUUGAUUGGGGACUCUAGCGAGACUGCCAGUGAUAAACUGGAGGAAGUGGGGAUGACGUCAAAUCAUCAUGCCCCUUAUGACCUGGGCUACAAACGUGAUACAAUGGCUGAAACAAAGGGCAGCGAAGCAGUGAUGUGGAGCGAAACCCAAAAAAGCAGUCUCAGUUCGGAUUGAAGUCUGCAACUCGACUUCAUGAAGUCGGAAUCGCUAGUAAUCGCGGAUCAGAACGCCGCGGUGAAUACGUUCUCGGGGUUU